rnacentral:rRNA from 1 species
GACGAACGCUGGCGGCGCGCUUAACACAUGCAAGUCGAACGGAAAGGCCUGCUUUCCCUUGUGGAUUGCGGGUACUCGAGUGGCGAACGGGUGAGUAACACGUGAGUGAUCUGCCCCCAACUUGGGUAUAAGCCUGGGAAACUGGGUCUAAUUCCCGAUAGGACUGCAGGGUGGUGCCUGUGGUGGAAAACGAUUUUCUAGUGGUUGGGGAUGAGCUCGCGGCCUAUCAGCUUGUUGGUGGGGUAAUGGCCUACCAAGGCGGCGACGGGUAGCCGACCUGAGAGGGUGGACGGCCACAUUGGGACUGAGAUACGGCCCAGACUCCUACGGGAGGCAGCAGUGGGGAAUAUUGCACAAUGGGCGGAAGCCUGAUGCAGCGACGCCGCGUGGGGGAUGACGGCCUUCGGGUUGUAAACUCCUUUCGACCGCGAGGAAGCCACCUGGUUGGAAGGGUGGUGACGGUAGUGGUAGAAGAAGCACCGGCUAACUACGUG